rnacentral:lncRNA from 1 species
UUAAGUGUUAAUAGCUAAUAAUAGAGCAAGCUUGAUUACUAGCUUGGUGUCCUAAAACGGAUGUUGGCCUGCCAGGCUGGCUUCAAAACAGUGCUUUACAUCCUCCUUCCAACAUUAUUCACAAGCCGAUCAAGACUGAGAGAGUCACAAGUGUGUGAAACCUGCAUUCUUUCUGACUUCAUUUUCCCUGGCUGGGAACCUCAAAGAAUUCAAAUAUGCUAUCUAGUAUACACACUAAUGUUUGCUCACCCUUUGAGCAUAAGCUCAAAUUUUAUUGUGGCUUAUCUUCUCCAAAAAAUGUCGAAAUUUUUGUAGAACAGACAAAUCAAGAAUGAUGACUUCUUAAGAUGCAGUAUUCAAGUUCAGAAAUCUAUACUCAGAUGACCUUGUGUAGGUCAUCUGCUUCUGAGGUUUAUCUCACCAGUGGUGUUUUCUUCUGAUUGCCAAGUGUUCUUUUUACCCCCAACAGGCAUCCUGACUCAAGCUGUAUACAUUUGCAAUAUCUGAUUUUUAACCACACACUCUUCAUCCUAUUGACCCAGAGUGAAAAUUGAUACUCUUAUCUGAAGGACUGUUCCCUUGAGUAUAUUUAAACCAGACCAAUCUCUGUGUUUAAUCUGGGUUCAUCAGGAACCAUUAGGGUCCCAGAAGGCUGCAUAUGGAACUGACCUGGACUUAAUCUACAAGAUAGAUACCAUGGAAACCUGUAUUAAGAAAACAGAUUUCAGGAGCCUUUGAACAAGAAGAGAGAGGAAGAAUGACAUAACUGAACAAGAGAGAUGGCGAGCAGAGUUUCCUGAAUGCUGUGAGCAGAACAAUUGGACAGAUGAGGGAAGUCU